CUCAGAUUGAACGCUGGCGGCAGGCCUAACACAUGCAAGUCGAGCGGUAGCACAGAGAGCUUGCUCUCGGGUGACGAGCGGCGGACGGGUGAGUAAUGUCUGGGAAACUGCCUGAUGGAGGGGGAUAACUACUGGAAACGGUAGCUAAUACCGCAUAACGUCGCAAGACCAAAGUGGGGGACCUUCGGGCCUCAUGCCAUCAGAUGUGCCCAGAUGGGAUUAGCUAGUAGGUGGGGUAACGGCUCACCUAGGCGACGAUCCCUAGCUGGUCUGAGAGGAUGACCAGCCACACUGGAACUGAGACACGGUCCAGACUCCUACGGGAGGCAGCAGUGGGGAAUAUUGCACAAUGGGCGCAAGCCUGAUGCAGCCAUGCCGCGUGUGUGAAGAAGGCCUUCGGGUUGUAAAGCACUUUCAGCGGGGAGGAAGGCGGUGAGGUUAAUAACCUCAUCGAUUGACGUUACCCGCAGAAGAAGCACCGGCUAACUCCGUGCCAGCAGCCGCGGUAAUACGGAGGGUGCAAGCGUUAAUCGGAAUUACUGGGCGUAAAGCGCACGCAGGCGGUCUGUCAAGUCGGAUGUGAAAUCCCCGGGCUCAACCUGGGAACUGCAUUCGAAACUGGCAGGCUAGAGUCUUGUAGAGGGGGGUAGAAUUCCAGGUGUAGCGGUGAAAUGCGUAGAGAUCUGGAGGAAUACCGGUGGCGAAGGCGGCCCCCUGGACAAAGACUGACGCUCAGGUGCGAAAGCGUGGGGAGCAAACAGGAUUAGAUACCCUGGUAGUCCACGCCGUAAACGAUGUCGAUUUGGAGGUUGUGCCCUUGAGGCGUGGCUUCCGGAGCUAACGCGUUAAAUCGACCGCCUGGGGAGUACGGCCGCAAGGUUAAAACUCAAAUGAAUUGACGGGGGCCCGCACAAGCGGUGGAGCAUGUGGUUUAAUUCGAUGCAACGCGAAGAACCUUACCUGGUCUUGACAUCCACAGAACUUUCCAGAGAUGGAUUGGUGCCUUCGGGAACUGUGAGACAGGUGCUGCAUGGCUGUCGUCAGCUCGUGUUGUGAAAUGUUGGGUUAAGUCCCGCAACGAGCGCAACCCUUAUCCUUUGUUGCCAGCGGUUCGGCCGGGAACUCAAAGGAGACUGCCAGUGAUAAACUGGAGGAAGGUGGGGAUGACGUCAAGUCAUCAUGGCCCUUACGACCAGGGCUACACACGUGCUACAAUGGCAUAUACAAAGAGAAGCGACCUCGCGAGAGCAAGCGGACCUCAUAAAGUAUGUCGUAGUCCGGAUUGGAGUCUGCAACUCGACUCCAUGAAGUCGGAAUCGCUAGUAAUCGUAGAUCAGAAUGCUACGGUGAAUACGUUCCCGGGCCUUGUACACACCGCCCGUCACACCAUGGGA
rnacentral:rRNA from 1 species